rnacentral:rRNA from 1 species
AGCCCAAGAGAUCGGGAUAACACCUGGAAACAGAUGCUAAUACCGGAUAACAACAGAUGAUGCCUAUCAACUGUUUAAAAGAUGGUUCUGCUAUCACUCUUGGAUGGACCUGCGGUGCAUUAGCUAGUUGGUAGGGUAACGGCCUACCAAGGCGAUGAUGCAUAGCCGAGUUGAGAGACUGAUCGGCCACAUUGGGACUGAUACACGGCCCAAACUCCUACGGGAGGCAGCAGCG